rnacentral:lncRNA from 1 species
GUAGCGUGAGCUAUCUGAGGAAAAUCCCGCUUCCUGUCGCACGAGGGCUAUAAAUGGGUUGUUCUGCAGAGCGCUUGUCAAUACAGACGGACUGAAGCGAAGAUCAGCAACACAGACUUGACUUUGCCGCUGGAAGACAACCUCAGGCGCAAACAUGAUGUGUGACGUCGAGUUCGACUUAUCCUUGGCUUUAGAAAGUGAUCCCGACAUGACGGAAGUAGACUGCCCUCUACCGGCCAAGGUGAGGCGCUGCAUGUU